AUGCAGAAACUGGUUCCAAAGGAUGAGAAGGCAGGUACAACCCAGAGCGGAAAAAGAUCAGAUGGAGAACAGGAUGGAACAGCUGGAGGUAUGGAUGCUUCUACCCAGGGAUUAUUGGAGGGUAUUGGUCUAGAUGGUGACACAUUGGCUCCCAUGGAAACAGAUGAGCCUGCUUCAGAAGCUAAGGCCAAAUCUAAAAUUACACCAGCCAUGGCUGCCAGAAUUAAGCAGAUCAAGCCUUUGUUGUCAGGUAAGUGAUUUGCUUUCAGAAGGCUUAACCAGUCCUAAAACAAUUUGAGUUGGAAAGGCUAUAUCAUUUUGUAUAAAGAAGUUUUAAAACUCAUUUUUACAUGUACUUUGUUAAAUCCUUGUAUAAACCACUUUGCCAUCCCUAGGGCAAAAUACCCUAUACAACUUAAGGAUAAGUUUAUUUUGGCUUACAGGUGUUCAGUCCUCGGUCAGCUGGCUCCAAGGCAGAAACAAGGUGGCAGGAAAAGGUGCUCAGUUCAUGGUAGCUAAGAAGCAAAGAAAAGUGGGAGGGGCCAGAGACAAGAAUAUACUUUUCCAAGCCAUGCCCCUAAUGACUCACCUUUACCCAGGUUCCACCUCCCUGACAACACAUUCAGCUAUUGAAGUCAUCAAUGGAUGAAUCCACAGAAUAAUAUAGUACCCCUAUGAUCCAGUCACCUUCCAGACAUGUCUUUUGGGAGACAUUUUAGAUGUAAAGCAUGACAGUCCUCCUACUAUUUGCUUGACUCUGUGCUAGUUUGCUAGGAUUAUAGAUGGGAGAAUACCUUCCUGAGUAAGAGCCAUGUCUACCUUUCCUUCUUUCAUUCCUUCCCUCCUACUCACUUUUUAACUUUUGCAAAUGGCUUCCACUCAGACCAUUCCACUGAAAUGACUCACUAAGAUACCCAUAUCCUCAUUGUUAAGUCCACUGGAUAUGUUUUAGUUCCUGUUUUAUUUGUCUAAAGGGUGAUAGUUGACCCACGGUCUCCUAGGAAUAACUGUUUUCCUUUGCUUUUGUGUUACUUAGCUCUUCUGAUUAUUCCUGAUCUCUCUGGUUACUUCACCUAUCUUCUUUUCCUUUCUCUAUUCCUUGAAAAGAAAGCUGGAAAGUGGCAUAAAGUCACUUUGAUAGCUCCAUGGAAACUACUUUGGCAGGAUACCAAACUUUAUUUUUUCAUUUUUAUUUUUUUUGUACCGGGAAUCAAACUUGGGUCCUUGGCCCUUGCGGGCCAGGUGGUCAAACAACUGAGCUAAAUCCUCGGCCCCAAGACUUUAUUAAAAAUGUGUACUGAUCUGUUUGUUGUCUCUUGGACCCUAAUAAAGAAAAAUGAAGGCAUAGCUCAUAGGAACCUGGAUCCCUGCCCAAAAGCAAGCAGAAAAUGACCUUUAGUGUUUAUAUUUGCUAAAUUCAAUCCCCAUGAAUUUUGUAUUUCAUUGUAAUUUAAUUCUGUUGCAUUUGUUUUAGUAUGAAAGUCUACCAGCGCUACCCCCCAAAUUUCAGCAAAAUUGAUCAUCCACAAUGUUUGUGUUUCUUUGUUACACUUCUUUGACCUCAUCUUGGAGCUUUCUGGGUUUUCGUGGGUGGGGGCUCAGUCCAUGCUUUCGAAGCCUAUCUCUCUGUGUUACUACCCUCUUAUUUUCCUCUUGUCCUUGAACUACCUUUGAGCCACUGUGUUCUCUGCUUACCUGAAAACAGAUGAGAAUGUAUAAACCUGAAUUAGGAUGAAUUUUCCAAUUGGUUUGGACUAAUUUGAUUUCCAGAGUCUGAGUGUUCCCAAUCUCCCAACUAGACUGUUCCCUAAAUAGAAUUAAGAAAGCCUAAUUUUUCUGGAAUAGGAAAAAGAUAAGAGCUGUUUCAUUUUUUCUUCCUAUGCUUUGUACCUCUGAGCUAUGUUUUGAGCAUAAUUGUUGACACAAGCUCUAAUAGAGCCUAUGUUUUGAUUCAGGUCUUAGUCUUCUUAUCUCUGGAUCAUGGUAAAAUAAUGUUUUUUUCAAAAGUUCUGUGGCAGCGUUUUUAUUUAUGAUUUUAAAAGAAAAAUGAGUUUAAAGAAAAGCAAUUAAAUUAUGUGGAC
rnacentral:lncRNA from 1 species